AAACUAAAAUGAAGUUGAAGUGGAUGAAGUUCCCACAAAGUACUUAACUGGUUCAUUGCACUAAGAUAAAGCUAGCUGUUUGAGAUGCACAUGAUCUUUUCCAACUACAGUUUUCAAAUCUUUUCAUACUCAAAUGGCCAUAUUGAUGAGAAAUUAUUAAUUAUGUUCUUUUUAAAUCUCAAAUGACCAUAUUAACGAUGGGGUUUUCAAUCUCAAAUGGCCAUAUUCAUGAUGGACUUUUCAAUCUCUAAUGGUCUAAUGGUGGUGCUGAGUAUGUGCAUUGCAUGUGUUUUAAAUAUGUCCUUUAAAUUUCCAUAGGAUGACUAUGUGGAUGAAGAGGGGGAAAUCCUUGCUGAGGAGCAGAGUGAAGCCUAUCCUCACAUACAAGAUGGGGAGGAGCAUGGAAGUGAUCAGUCCAGAAGUGAAAAAACAGAACACUUGUUGAUUAAACUUUUGGCCAUGAUGAAAUUGACUGGUAUCCUCCGUGACGACUUCUUACAGUAUGUGGUUUGUCCAAAAUGUAUGACAGUGUACAUGCUUACUGAAACCUAUGAGCGCAGAUGGGAUGGUACAAAGGUUUGCAGGACUUGUGGUCACAUCCAGCCUGGUCUCACAAACAAAACGUACAUAUUUACACGUAAAUUAAAACAGUCCAAUACGUAUGUGCUUUUACGUAUUUAUAGUGCCUUUACGUAUUAUCUGGACGUAAUUGCAGGAUCGAUACGUAUCUAAAUGUACGUAAAAUGUCCUAAAAUACGUACAGAUUAAACGUGUUCUGACCAGUAGUUAUCCAGUAACAUUUGCUUAUGAAGCCGCUUUUUUAUGAAGCGCUUUUAAUGCGCAUUAGAUUUAAUACUCCGUUUAAAACACUUUGGCACUUUAAUACUUGCUUGCUACAGAGCAUUAUACACUUUACGAUGUAAUUCCUUUUUAUUUAAAAUAAUGAUCGGACAAAACCAGAACAGAUCGCGUUCCCGACCGGACUCAUUUCAGCGUUACAACAGAUUUACAGUUUCAGCGACGGUGUUGACAUAUCUCCUCCAGGUGAGGAAAUUUAUUUACGUUUUUAAUUUAUAUGUCUGCUCUAUUUUAUUAAAUAUAUUCUUAGUCAGUUGUUGGUUUUUGUUAGAUAAUAACUUGAGUGGUAAGUUAAUCGAAAAAGUGCAUCGACUGAAUUGAUGCUAGGUUUUAACAGGUGAUAGUCAUUAAAUGAUUACGUUCGUGUUUAAUAUGAUCAAUCUAAUAUAAAUUCAUACUUAUUUGACUUAUUUGUUUUGUCUCUGUAUUCUCAGAUCAAACUAACAUAAUAUGCUGCAUACCGAUUCAUAUUAUUCAUCUGAACCGUUCUCUAACUGAAUCCAUAGAGCUGUUUGGACGGCCAGACCAACAUCCAAAGGUCGCUACGAACUACCAUUGCCCCAUCUUCACUCUGAGCAAUGUAGAGAAACAUGGAUACCAGGUGUGCUAGAAAUGCAGAAGAGUGGCUACUGGCCUGCAGCUGUAAACUUAUGUACCAUUUAUGAUGAGGAAGUCUUUGUGUCCUUCGAAGACUUGAAAAUGGCUGCUCCAGGAUUGUCCCGUUUAGCAUUCAUAAGAAUGCUUGACAUGAAGACAGUGCACUAUGGCAGAACUCAGCUGAAUCUAAAGAAAGACACCGAAAGCCUACAAGAACCUACAAUGAAAAUGAACUGGUUGUAGAUGAUGGUCACAGAUGUUCAGGAGUGGGCUCACACUACAACUGUAGGAGACAGUGAUGUUGCAAUUCAGACAACAAGGAACACAAUAGAAGAAUUAUCUUUGUGCAUUAAACAACGGCAGCAUCGUCUUUAUAGACACACUGCCACAAUCAAAGGACGGAAUAAAAUGAGAAGAAAAAUCAAUGAGGAGAAAAAGAAGCUUGCUUUUGCCAUUGAACACCACAAUGCCCUUGUUGACCCCACCCAGAAAAAUUAACCCCUGGAAUCUUCCCGAUGAUAGGAUUCAAGGACUUCAAUGUGUGUUGAAGAGAAAAUUACAUCAGUUAAGAGCUCACCAGGGCACUGUAAAAACAAGAUGUCAGACAAUAGACAUCAUAAACGAACAUAUUACUGUUGAAGAAUGUAAAUAUCCCAGCUGGCCAUAAGACUCAGAAGCCCUUUAUUCAAGCAGUGCUGAUCUGAGCUCUGAUGAAGAUGAUACAUGUCUGCUGUAGUUAUU